CCACUCGCCAAAAUAUCCCAAUAUAUUCCACCCUGCGUCUUUCUGACAUCCCAGAGCCCAGCUUCCAGGCCUAUCCCAUGGCGCUCAAAACCCUCGGUGCCUUCUCCUUCGCUUCUCCCCCCAGCCCUUGUAGUAAACCCACGUCGCCUCUUCCCUUCCCCUCUUCCCUUCGCUUCCGCCCCCGCCCUCCCAAAACCCUAAUAUCUCCAUCCUCCUCCGCUGCGCCGAGCUCCAUUUCUCCCUCCCCCUCCCCCAUUUUCCUCCCCCAUCUCGAGUCUCCCGCCCCCGAAUCCAUCGACGACGAGGUGGUGGCGGACGCCGCCGAAGAAGAAGAAGUAGUAGAAGAAGAAGAACAGUUCGAGAAGGAAUUCGGAGAACUACAUGGAUCCGAAUUAGAAUCCGAGGAGGAAGAGGGACGAGAAGAGGACUACUCAGAUCCCAUCCGCAACUUCUUCAAAUCCCGGUCCGAAACCCGAGACCCGAAGCGCGAGGGCCGGCUCACUCUCCAGCGGAACCGCCGCUCCACGUGGCACAUCGCAGACCUCCAAAGCGAUGAUAUUGAAGAGGAGGAGGAGGAGGAGGAAGAAGAAGAAGUGCAAGCUGUCGAGCCAGAUUCUGAUUCCGGGGUUCCUGAACCAGCUUCGGAGGACGGGGUUGUAGGAAAGAUCAUGGGGAUCGCGAGGAGGCUGCCGGAAAACUCCACAUUGGGAGAAUUCUUGGAUUCUUUUGCCGGGAAGGUGGGGGAGGGGGAGUGCAUUGAGCUGCUGGGAAGGAUGGGGGUGGAGGGACUGGUUCGGGAAAGUUUGUAUCUUUACGAGUGGAUGGGGUUGCAGGAGCCAUCGCUGGUGACGCCGAGGUCGUGUUCGGUUCUGUUUCCAAAUCUGGGAAGGGCAGGCAUGGGAGAUAAGCUGAUCGUUCUCUUUGAGAAUUUGCCAAGAGGGAAGAGAUUUCGGGAUGUUUGUGUGUAUAAUUCAGUCAUUUCAGGCCUUUCGUGCUGCAGGAGAUAUGAUGAUGCCUGGAGAGUGUUCGAGGAUCUGGAAGCUAAUAAUAUCAAGCCAGAUCAUGUGACGUGUUCUAUUCUGAUAACUGUCAUGAGGAAGAUGGGUAAGCAAGCAAAAGAUGCAUGGGGUUUCUUUGAACGUAUGAACAGAAAAGGUGUCAAAUGGAAUGUAGAGGUCUUUGGUGCUCUCAUAAAGUCCUUCUGUGACGAGGGGCUGAAAAAGGAAGCUCUCAUCAUUCAAUCAGAAAUGGAGAAGAAAGGAAUGUCAUCAAACGUCAUCAUAUAUAACACCUUGAUGGAUGCCUACAUUAAAUCUAACCAGGUUGAAGAGGCAGAAGGUCUCUUUGUUGAGAUGAAAGAAAAGGGAUUAAAUCCAACCACAGCAACCUAUAACAUUCUGAUGGAUGCCUACAGUAGAAGAAUGCAACCUGAGAUUGUUGAAGCUCUCCUAUCCGAGAUGCAAAGUUUAGGCUUGAAACCAAAUGUUAAAUCAUACACCUGCCUCAUAAGUGCCUAUGGAAGGCAGAGGAAAAUGAGUGACAUGGCAGCAGAUUCAUUCUUAAGGAUGAAAAAGUCUGGAAUAAAGCCUACCUCACAUUCAUAUACGGCUCUUAUUCAUGCAUAUUCUGUGAGUGGAUGGCACGAAAAAGCUCAUGCUGCAUAUCAAAAUAUGAAAAGAGAAGGAAUAAAACCUUCCAUAGAGACUUACACAGCUCUGCUUGAUGCCUUUAGGCGAGGUAGUGAAACUGAGAAGCUGAUGGAAGUUUGGAAAGAGAUGAUCAAUAAUAAAGUGGAAGGUACUAGAGUUACAUUUAACAUUCUCUUGGAUGGGUUGGCGAAACAUGGUCUCUAUGUUCAAGCAAGAGAUGUGAUACAUGAAUUUGGCAGGCUAGGUUUGCAGCCAACAGUCAUGACAUAUAAUAUAUUGAUGAAUGCAUAUGCACGGGGAGGGCAACACAACAAGUUGCCACAGUUGCUGAAAGAAAUGAUUGCUCUUGAAUUGAAGCCUGACUCUGUUACUUAUUCCACAAUGAUAUAUGCAUAUGUUCGUGUGCGUGAUUUUACUAGGGCAUUUUAUUAUCACAAACAAAUGGUGAGAAGUGGGCAAGUGCCUGAAGCCAGAUCCUAUCAGAAGCUGCGAGCUAUUUUAGAUGUCAAAGCUGCAAUAAAGAACAGGAGGGAUAGGAGUGCUAUAUUCGGAAUAGUCAACAGCAAAUUUGGCUUGAAACCCAAAAAGGGUAAGAAGGAUGAGUUCUGGAAGAACAAAAGGAAUCGGUGGAUGACAAACAGUGAUAUUAGUGAUCAGAAAUGAUCCAUUAAACAACUCAUUGAUUUUGUUUCUGAUUGAAUGGCGAGUGAGGGACUGAUUCACUUUGCAUAUAUCUAUUCUGAUUCAUGGUUCUACAUUUCUUGCAUCUCACAUGAGUGCUCCUUCUAGAAGAAGCUGGUCAUCUCAAAAAGCAAAUGGAUGAUGUGAAAGGAGAAAUCUUCUUCCAAGUCUUUGUACAUGCUGAUCAUCAAUCACACACACACAGUUCCUGCUUCAAUAAUUUAUUAUGGUGGUCUGUUUAUGGUGGUCUAGCGACACCUUUAAGGUACUUUAAGGUAAUUUCAGUAGAUUGGCAAGAGGGCCCAAAGGUGGUUUGAUGUAUGGAGUUGAUCACAAGGUUUAAGCAUGUGGUGCAAUCAGGCAAUCAGUUGAUUUCUUCUUUCAGAUCGCUCUAGAAGGAUAAUGUUGCCAAAAUGAUUUUUAGAGUGUUCCUUGUUGGGGAGGCAAGCUGUUUAUACCGAUAAAAGAGCGCAUGCACCCCCUCUUCAAGCUUUGGUACUAGUAGUUUAGAACAAGAUAAUUGCAGUUAUUUGCUGUAGGAGCUAUGUACUUUUGGUGCAAAUUUAGAGGGGCUGGGAUUAUUGAGCAUGCUUAAAGAUUUGUCAGGGGAACUAAUCUAAGAAAAUAGAAGUCUUUUUGAGUCACUUAUUGGCAGUGCGCUAAGCGAAAUGGAGAGGUGUGGUCACAUCUUGUUGCCUUGUCAAUGGUUGCUGUUGCUGCAAUUAAAGGGAAAAGCUGUCCUCCAGAAGUAGCCUUUUGAUUUGCAGGAAAGUUUUCACUGCUGAAACCUGUGAGUUAUUUAAUCUUGCUAACUAUUUGAUGCCCCUGCUUGCUUGAAUUGCCUCUAGCACUAUUCUCAAACUACAAAAGACGCUUUUUAGAUUUGGUCAUAGUGAACUGUUAGUGGAAACCUGAAUGACCUUUGUCUAUGACCAUUUUGGAGAGGAUCUUGCUGGUCACUGCAAUGAAUAUUUUAGUGGAGAGGCGGUAGGGCUAUUUGAUGAUCUUUACAAAGAACAUUGCGACAUUCCUUUUCCUCAGACCUGUCGUUUCUCAAAUUAUGCGAUCUUGUUCUGAAGUUAUUGCCUUUUACCUCAGGCCUCUCGUUUCUCGAUUUAUGCAAUCUUGUUGUAAGGUUUUUGCCUAUGAUUCCCAUGUCUUUCCAGACUUGCUGCUCCAGUUUGGUUAGUCACUGUGAUCCAUCCUAGUUCCUUACUCUCAAAAUCUCUGCAACGAAUUGUUUGACAGGCGGAGGCUUUUCUAAGCACCUGACAUGUAAGCUUGCCCAUGGUCGAUAACCAGAACUCUUUUUGGUGGCUUCUUUAAUUGGGGGUUCUAAUGGGGACCUAGUGAAAGCCUUGGGUGUUUGAAGAAGACAUAGGGUGAAACUGUCUAUUGGCUUGGGUUUAUGGUUUUCAAUGCUUAAUCAUGCAAUGAUGGCAGAUGUGGCGGCAUGGUUGCUGAUGGCUCCAAUGCUUUCUGUAGAAUUGUUGCCGGUUUCUGUACAUUUUAAUUUCCUCUCAUGAUUGGCUAUGUUUUAGAUCGAUUAGAUAAUUCAUGGGAUUUUUUCUA